AAGUUGGUAUUCUAACGCCAUGGAAUAGCUUCUGACUCUAGUGUUUGUACACAGGGGGGAAGUCAAGAUGGACUGGAGUUAGCCGUAUCUCCGGUUCUCUUGGCUUU
rnacentral:ncRNA from 23 species